UACGUAGGGUGCAAGCGUUUGUCCGGAAUUAUUGGGCGUAAAGAGCUCGUAGGCGGUUUGGUAAGUUGGAUGUGAAAUCUCCAGGCUCAACUUGGAGGGGUCAGUUCGAUACUGCCAUGACUAGAGUUCGGUAGGGGAGUGGUGGAAUUCCUGGUGGAGCGGUGAAAUGCGCAGAUAUCAGGAAGAACACCCGUGGCGAAGGCGGUUCUCUGGGACGGUACUGACGCUGAGACGCGAAAGCGUGGGGAGCGAACAGG
rnacentral:rRNA from 1 species